rnacentral:rRNA from 1 species
UUGAACGCUGGCGGUAGGCUUAACACAUGCAAGUCGUGCGAGAAAGUAUCUUCGGAUAUGAGUAGAGCGGCGGACGGGUGAGUAACGCGUAGGAAUCUACCUAGUAGAAGGGGAUAGCCCGGGGAAACCCGGAUUAAUACCGUAUACCUCCUUCGGGAAGAAAGAAGGCCUCUCUUUGAAGCUUUCGCUACUAGAUGAGCCUGCGUUAGAUUAGGUAGUUGGUGGGGUAACGGCCUACCAAGCCUACGAUCUAUAGCUGGUUUGAGAGGAUGAUCAGCAACACUGGGACUGAGACACGGCCCAAACUCCUACGGGAGCAGCAGUGAGGAAUAUUGG